AAAGUCGUAACAAGGUUUCCGUAGGUGAACCUGCGGAAGGAUCAUUAUCGAGUUAGGGUCCUCUGGGCUCGAUCUCCAACCCUGUGUAUAAUUACCCUGUUGCUUUGGCGGGCCCGUCUUUUAACCGGACCGUCGGGGGUCUUGCACCUCUGACCAGUGCUCGUCAGCCGCCUACAACAAAUUCUUUAAACCAUGUCAAAAUCUGAAUAUAAAUUUAAUAAAUUAAAA
rnacentral:misc_RNA from 1 species